CCUCUGCAGUACUUAGUAUACUCGCCACCUCCCCACCCCCCCAAAAAAAUCAAAUGAAUUGAUCUGUGCUUUAAAAACCAGCAAACUCAGGCCCUGGCAAUCAAGAUAGGGAAUUACAAAAAAAUAAUCAGGAAUAAGGUGAGCCUAACUUUGACCUCCCAUUAUUCAGACCUGUGGAUCCUGCAAGAGGAAAUAUUUUUUUCCAAAUAUCUGGGCUGAAGAUUGCUGCAGUUAAAGUAUCUCUGUUAAGGCUAAAAAUAGAAGAAACCACCUAGAGUGUCAGAGUUUGGCUGAUUCAAGAAGUGAAGAGGUAGUCUGUGUUCAGGAUGUUGUGAGAAUGCACAUAAUUUCUAUAUUGAAG
rnacentral:lncRNA from 1 species